rnacentral:ribozyme from 13 species
CAUGCCGAUCAUGCGAAAAAAAAAAAAAAAAAAAAAAAAAAAAAAAAAAAAAAAA